rnacentral:rRNA from 1 species
UUAGAGUUUGAUCAUGGCUCAGAACGAACGUUGGCGGCGUGCUUAACACAUGCAAGUCGAACGAGAACGGUUUCUUCGGAGACCUAGUAAGGUGGCGCACGGGUGAGUAACGCGUAGAUAACCUGUCCAGGUGUAUGGGAUAGCCCUUCGAAAGGGGGAUUAAUACCGUAUACGUUAUUCUGUUAUAAGGCAGAUUAAGAAAGGUGGCCUCUAUUUAUAAGCUAUCGCAUUUGGAGGGGUCUGCGUACCAUUAGUUUGUUGGUGGGGUAAUGGCCUACCAAGACUUCGAUGGUUAGCGGGUCUGAGAGGAUGAUCCGUCACACUGGCACUGAAACACGGGCCAGACUCCUACGGGAGGCAGCAGUGAGGAAUAUUGCGCAAUGGGGGAAACCCUGACGCAGCGACGCCGCGUGGGUGAGGAAGGCUUUCGGGUCGUAAAGCCCUGUCAGGAGGGAAGAAAUGCUAUGUGGUUAAUACCGUGGGACUUGACGGUACCAUCAGAGGAAGCACCGGCUAACUCCGUGCCAGCAGCCGCGGUAAUACGGAGGGUGCAAGCGUGUUCGGAUUCACUGGGGUAUAAGGGUGCGCAGGCGGCCGAUAAGUCAGGGGUGAAAUAUGACGGUCAAGCGUCAAACUGCCCUGAAACUGUCAGGCUUGAGUUCGAGAGAGGAAGUGGGAAAUACCAGGUGUAGCAGGUGAAAAUGCGUAAAUAUCUAGGAAGGAAACCGG